AUGACAUCACUGACUAGUGGCCUCCUGAUCCGGGAAUCCACUGUAUAUGCUAUAGCGAGUGAGAUUGGUGUAGGGCCCUUCACCCAUAUCCGAGACCACGGAUCAGCAAGAGACAUGACAUCAGUGACCAGUGAAUCUACUGCAGGUGCCAUGGGUAAGAAAAUAUUUCUUUUCUUUCUAUUAUACUGGUAUUCAUCCUUGCUCUGGGCCCUUGUUUUCCAGCUUUCAAAUAUGAUAUGGACUCAUCUUCAUAGUCCGAGAACAGGAAAGUUUGUGAUUAGGUGGUAAGACCCGGCAACUUCCUCUGUCCCAUUAUUGUCUGCCCAGAUGUCAUCCUUUGGAUGAAGAGCUCAUGGAGGAUUUUGUCCAUUUCUUGUGUUAGUUUGUGUGUAUACAUAUAAUUUACUAUGAUAAAAGUCAGCUACUGGAGGACAGGCUUUUCUAUGCCCAGCACCUAAAACCCUGAAUGGAGUAGCUGAUUCUAAACAAAUGAUUACUGCUUCAUUUUCCAUUUAACCUGAGCAGGUAUCCAUCAGGCAGUUUGUCUGAGCCUGGAUCCCUAUCUCAUCUGAGGGCAAGAUGACAGGACAGAUCCAUCUACAUAUCAGUCUCUUCUUAUUUAAUACUUUCUCAUGGUGGCCAUGCACCCUAGAGCAAAAGUAGAUCCUAAUUUCUGUCAGUCUUUUUGUUUUGCAAGUGCUUGUCAAGGACAAGGUGCUAACGUGAGGGGUUGGGGACUCGGGACGUUCAAAAUCCUCACAGGCUCUGGGGAACUCUGUCCAAAUGGCUCCAAACUUCCCCCCCCCCCCCCAUAAUGUCACCACAGGAGAUGGACCCUCCCUGGGAACAGAACCUCAGACUCCUAUCCACGAAUCUCUGAGCCCAGGGCCAGGCUCCUUUCCUGCCUUAAGUACUCCCACAGCCUGCACAAGCACAGCUUCCCUGAAGGCUGCUACUUCAUUGGAGGACCCAGGGCCAGCCGGCCUGACUCCAUAGACUGAGAGAAACCCACAGGCAACACCAACUCCAGCUAUUACCCUGCCUCCAGCCAGCACACAGGAAGUUUGCACAACAGCAUCUCCCAGUCCUCCUGACACAACCACAGAGGGCAGCAGUGUCAAGGCAGGCACAGCCUCUGUUUCUGAUCAAGUGCCUUCCACUUCCUGCCUCUUCCCAAAUAAGCAUAUUUUAAAUAAGCUUCCCAGGGAGGGAAUUGGGUUGUGGCCUUGGAGGAAAUGGGGAGUGUCAGUCCAGGGAGGGUCAGUUUGUGCCUUUCUAAGGAGAAGGG
rnacentral:lncRNA from 1 species